AUUUCUUCUGUUAGCCUGAAAGAUUCAUUUCUCUCUCUUCUCUCCCCUCUCCUCUCUCCCGGUUCAAAACUCCUCAAACCAUUCGCCCCUUUCCUCUCCCUCUCCCUCAUUCUCUGCAAUUUCAAAGAAGGUGUCUUCAUAAACCCCCUCAAUUUUGUUCUCUUUCUCUAUCCUCUUUCAACAUUUUUGAUGGUAGCUUUACUGCCUCGAGCAUGGUAUUCAGUGUAGAUCAAUGAUGUUAUGCCAAUGGUAGCACCAAUGAAGGUUUUGAAACCCGAGUUGUUGAGUGCUUGACGACUAGUCAAUCUGAAUCAGUUGUGAGUUCGAAAUUGAAAGAGUCCCAGGAGUUGAAAGGAUUUUGAUUAGAGAGAUGCACGUCAUUAAAAGGGGGUGAUGACUCUAGUUUGGAUGGUGGUAUUGACUCACUGAAGAAUUGCUCAUGCUCAUUUUGCAGCAAAGGUAUGUGCAAUCUUUUCCCCCGUUGAAUUGACCUAUAUUUGAUGAAGAUGGUUUUAAUCAAUUAGUGAUUUUGUUAUUUUCUGUUCUUUUGUAGAAUAGUUGGUUAUAUAUGGUCUGUUCUACAUUAUCAGGAUGUGAAAAGCCGAAUAUCAACUAAAAAACUAUUUCUUUAUGCCAACAUGUUAUGGUUUGAUCCAAGUUUUAUGCUAUCACUUAACAUUUAUGGUUCAAUCAUUUUUAGUAAUGGCAAAGAGUCAAAAGGAAGCUAACAAUUUGGUCCAAAAAUACUCUGUGGAAAAUGAAAUUGGAAGCCAUACCCAAGAGAGCUUCAAUAAUGUCGCCCAAUUAGAAACUGAUCUCACAAGUCAUUGGAGAUCCCUAUUUCUUCACAUGGAGGAUACGUUCGGUAGUGAAGGCAGCCAACUAAUCCACAUACUGGGGAUUGGCCAGAGUAAUGAUGCCACAUCAUACUCGGAACUUGAACAAAACAAUUUUCUUGCAUCGAAGGAUUUAAGAGAUGACUAUAAGAUGAAUUUAGAGAAGAUCAAUGAAAUGCCUUCGGAUGUGCAGCAAUGUUCUUCAAAUGGUUCCGAUCAUACGAUAGUCUAGGAAGUUUGGUCUUUGCAGGUGUGUAAUGGAUGGUAGAUUAAUUAGUUGGAAGACAGGAAAGCAUAUGUCGUCAAUUUGUUUAGUUUAGAUUUGCUUACAGUACUUUGAUUUAUUUCACUUUGUAAGAUAGUAUUUUGUAUAAUGUAAUAGUAUACAAACUCAUAUCUCUUGUACUCCUUAUUUGAAUAAUAAUAACGAGACGUGUUUAGUA